rnacentral:sRNA from 1 species
AAAUAGCCCUGAUCGCAGCGGCAUCCUUUUUUAGUUCACAGGUUUUUGUAACCUGUGGACUAAAAAAGAUAUAGCGGAGAGCAGGACGAAUC